UACGUAGGGUCCAAGCGUUGUCCGGAUUUAUUGGGCGUAAAGAGCUCGUAGGCGGUUUCGUAAGUCGGAUGUGAAAACUCAGGGCUCAACCCGGAGACGCCAUCCGAUACUGCGAUGACUUGAGUCUGGUAGGGGAACACGGAAUUCCUGGUGUAGCGGUGAAAUGCGCAGAUAUCAGGAGGAACACCGGUGGCGAAGGCGGUUCUCUGGGCAUUACCUGACGCUGAGGAGCGAAAGUGUGGGGAGCGAACAGG
rnacentral:rRNA from 1 species